AUAGUCGUAACUUACGCGACAUUGCUUCUAAUCUAAUAAGUGGGGCUAAAAUGCGGUUAUGAAUUUGUCAAAUUUUUGGCUAACCUUUUCAUAUUACACAUUAAUGGAAUGACACAACCUUCCAUAUACCAUUUUAAUGGAGGAUAUAUAAAAGAAUCCCUACAAACUCCAUCAUUCACCAGAUUUUCUUAUUCAAAUACUAGAACAUAAUAAGCUUCCAAUACGUUCAAGUGAGUCAUGGCUACCAUUACUAUUCAUUGCAUGGUCCCCUUUGAAGAAUCGAGAAAGUAGUGGUGUUGAUUUGUAUCAAGAACAAGUUAACGAGAAGUAGUGUAUAUGCACGUAUUAUACAUAUUUUGGACACUAGCUAAUAAUGAGGUUCAGAUUUGUGCAUUAUUAUAUAGUUUACCAUAGUGCUUUGAAAAUGGCUUUGACAAUCAAAUUAAUUGAAUUGUUCUGUACUUCUGUGCUUGCAGUGUAUUUGUUGGAAUGGAAGUACUCAAUUUUUCUUAAAGAUGUUAUGCCAUAUUAUUUUGUUAUGAGAAGCUAAGUAAAUUGGUGAUCAAGUUAUAUAGGAGCUAAUUACCGGUUAAAACAUCAGAGUUUAAAGGUGCAUGAGGCAUUAGUGUGUUACGUUCCCGUAUCAAUUUUAAAAAUAAUUGCAACAGUUUAGACGAGAUUUUCUUUUAUUUUUAGGAUUCAUUGCAAUAUUUUUUGUAUAUUUGGUAUCUAAAUUAGAUAGAGAAGACGUGUUUCAUUACAAUUUUUUGGUAAUGGUGAAUCACUUGAUCUUUCAAAUUGUAACAUUAGUAUAGUGCCAUAUGUAUAGUCA